rnacentral:tRNA from 1 species
GCCCAGGUGAUGAAAUUGGUAGACUUGGCGGACUCAAAAUCCGCUGCCGAAAGGCGUGCCGGUUCGAUUCCGGCCCUGGGCA